GAUGAACGCUGGCGGCGUGCCUAAUACAUGCAAGUCGAGCGAACAGACGAGGAGCUUGCUCCUCUGACGUUAGCGGCGGACGGGUGAGUAACACGUGGAUAACCUACCUAUAAGACUGGGAUAACUUCGGGAAACCGGAGCUAAUACCGGAUAAUAUAUUGAACCGCAUGGUUCAAUAGUGAAAGACGGUUUUGCUGUCACUUAUAGAUGGAUCCGCGCCGCAUUAGCUAGUUGGUAAGGUAACGGCUUACCAAGGCAACGAUGCGUAGCCGACCUGAGAGGGUGAUCAGCCACACUGGAACUGAGACACGGUCCAGACUCCUACGGGAGGCAGCAGUAGGGAAUCUUCCGCAAUGGGCGAAAGCUUGACGGAGCAACGCCGCGUGAGUGAUGAAGGUCUUCGGAUCGUAAAACCCUUUUAUUAGGGAAGAACAAAUGUGUAAGUAACUAUGCACGUCUUGACGGUACCUAAUCAGAAAGCAACGGCUAACUACGUG
rnacentral:rRNA from 1 species